rnacentral:rRNA from 1 species
GCUAACUCUGUGCCAGCAGCCGCGGUAAUACAGAGGGUGCGAGCGUUAAUCGGAUUUACUGGGCGUAAAGCGUGCGUAGGCGGCUUUUUAAGUCGGAUGUGAAAUCCCCGAGCUUAACUUGGGAAUUGCAUUCGAUACUGGGAAGCUAGAGUAUGGGAGAGGAUGGUAGAAUUCCAGGUGUAGCGGUGAAAUGCGUAGAGAUCUGGAGGAAUACCGAUGGCGAAGGCAGCCAUCUGGCCUAAUACUGACGCUGAGGUACGAAAGCAUGGGGAGCAAACAGGAUUAGAUACCCUGGUAGUCCAUGCCGUAAACGAUGUCUACUAGCCGUUGGGGCCUUUGAGGCUUUAGUGGCGCAGCUAACGCGAUAAGUAGACCGCCUGGGGAGUACGGUCGCAAGACUAAAACUCAAAUGAAUUGACGGGGGCCCGCACAAGCGGUGGAGCAUGUGGGUUAAUUCGAUGCCAAGCGAAGAAGCUU